rnacentral:snoRNA from 1 species
AACUAGAGUGAUGAAAAAGUAUCCUUAGGUGUGGUGGUGACUGUCUUGGUCACUUGUGUGCCAUUUGCCAAUGCUAGGACUUGUCAUAGUUACACUGACUAUGU